UACGUAGGGGGGCAAGCGUUGUCCGGAAUCAUUGGGCGUAAAGAGCGUGUAGGCGGCCCGAUAAGUCCGCUGUGAAAGUCCAGGGCUCAACCCUGGGAUGCCGGUGGAUACUGUCGGGCUCGAGUCCGGAAGAGGAGUGUGGAAUUCCUGGUGUAGCGGUGAAAUGCGCAGAUAUCAGGAGGAACACCGAUGGCGAAGGCAGCACUCUGGGACGUGACUGACGCUGAGACGCGAAAGCGUGGGGAGCAAACAGG
rnacentral:rRNA from 1 species